GCGAAAGUUAGAAAAGAACGAGGCACGGAAAGCAAGAGCAAGUGGCACAAUUCUGUCGGGUAGAAUUGGUAGGCUUCUCUCAGGCUGAUGCUGUGCUGAUUCUUACACCUUGAUCCAGUGUCAUCUACAUUCCUUUGGUGUAAAGGUUCAAAUUAGCUUCCUGCAGGAGGAAACAGAGAGGGAGGCCGGAAACCCCAAAACAAUGGAACCUCCAGUGAAACUUGUUGAAGGCAUGGGUUCUGCCAUGGAAAGUGAAGAUGCAGCACUACAGAUAAAUACACCGGUGGAGGUCAGUGAAAACCUUGAAGAGAAACUCUGCCAGCGUCACAACAGUCCUAUGGAAGUUCUCUGUGAGACAGACCAGAUGCUUAUUGACGACGAGAAACAUGGGGCGCUGCCCUCAGAUGAUGUGAGUCCCGUUCCUAGAAUGGUCCAGUUCCUUCCACUGAUGUCAGACUCUGUGUGCUGGACAUGGUGUUAUAAUAUGGCGUUGGUUUUUCUUUUUACUGUUGUCUUUUGUGUGAGUUAUUGUGCUGGUCUUUAUUUCUGGUGUUAUCCUAUGAUGACACUGAUAAGACGGUUCCAUGUUGUUUUUGGUGUUAGCGUGUGUGUUGGUUGGUGUAUGUGUCUUUAUUUCUGGGGUUGUCGUAGGCUGGUCGGACAGAUUGUCAUUGCUGUUGCUAUUGGCUACUGUCUUACCUCUCCUUUAGGUUUUGAUCCUUCUAGAAACUUCUAGGAUUAACGUAUGAGACUGAUCGCACUGUUUUGUUUCUACCAUUAGUAUUUGUAUUGGUUAUUGUUUUUAUUUAUUUAGAAAAGAAUCACAGAACAAUAUAGAAAAUACAAUAUUGACAAAAUACAGUAAAUACAAACUAAAUUUAAUCAUAUUUUGACAAAUACUGUGAAAAUACUUUUUAUGAAAUUACUCUUCACACCUUUUAGGGGUGUUAUAAUAUCGAGCACUGUAAGGGUUUAGGGGUGUUAUAAUAUUGAACACUGUAAGGGUUUAGGGGUGU